CCUACGGGAGGCAGCAGUGAGGAAUAUUGGUCAAUGGGCGCGAGCCUGAACCAGCCAAGUAGCGUGAAGGAUGACUGCCCUACGGGUUGUAAACCUCUUUUGCCGGGGAGCAACGGGCGUCACGUGUGGCGCCACUGAGAGUACCCGGAGAAAAAGCAUCGGCUAACUCCGUGCCAGCAGCCGCGGUAAUAAGGAGGAUGCGAGGGUUAUCCGGAUUUAUUGGGUUUAAAGGGUGCGUAGCCGGAUCGUUAAGUCAGUGGUCAAAUUGAGGGGCUCAACCCCUUCCCGCCAUUGAAACUGGCGUUCUUGAGUGGAAGAGAAGUAUGCGGAAUGCGUGGUGUAGCGGUGAAAUACAUAGAUAUCACGCAGAACCCCGAUUGCGAAGGCAGCAUGCCGGCUUCCGACUGACGCUGAAGCACGAAAGCGUGGGGAUCGAACAGGAUUAGAUACCCGAGUAGUC
rnacentral:rRNA from 1 species